UACGUAGGGUGCGAGCGGUAAUCGGAAUUACUGGGCGUAAAGCGUGCGCAGGCGGCCUUAUAAGACAGAUGUGAAAUCCCCGGGCUUAACCUGGGAACUGCGUUUGUGACUGUAAAGCUAGAGUGUGGCAGAGGGGGGUGGAAUUCCACGUGUAGCAGUGAAAUGCGUAGAGAUGUGGAGGAACAUCGAUGGCGAAGGCAGCCCCCUGGGUCAACACUGACGCUCAUGCACGAAAGCGUGGGGAGCAAACAGG
rnacentral:rRNA from 1 species